ACGACUGUUAUUUGGGUGAGAAUAAGCCAUGCGAGUUGAAUGGGAUACCUAAAUUUCCCAUAGCAAACUGCUCAGUAACACAUGAUCAACUUACCCUAUGGAGAUAAAUAACCUCGGGAAACUGAGGAUAAUGUUUCAUAGUUGAAUAGGCUUGGAAAAAUUUUUCAAUGAUAAGGAUAAAAAGAAUGGUUUCAAUUUGCCAUAGGAUAGGAUCGUGGUCGAUUAUGGUUGUUGGUGAGGUAACGGCUCACCAAGCCGAUAAUCGAUAGGGGCCGUGAGAGCGGGAGCCCCGAGAUGGGUACUGAGACAACGACCCAGGCCUUACGAGGCGCAGCAGGCGCGAAACCUCCGCAAUACACGAAAGUGUGACGGGGUUACCCAAAGUGUUCAAUAGAACUGUGGUAGGUGAGUAAUGUUCCCUACUAGAAAGGAGAGGGCAAGGCUGGUGCCAGCCGCCGCGGUAAAACCAGCUCUUCAAGUGGUCGGGAUAAUUAUUGGGCUUAAAGUGUCCGUAGCCGGUUUAGUAAGUUCCUGGUAAAAUCGGGUAGCUUAAUUAUCUAUAUGCUAGGAAUACUACUAUACUAGAGGGCGGGAGAGGUCUGAGGUACUACAGGGGUAGGGGUGAAAUCUUAUAAUCCUUGUUGGACCACCAGUGGCGAAGGCGUCAGACUGGAACGCGCCUGACGGUGAGGGACGAAAGCCAGGGGAGCGAACCGGAUUAGAUACCCGGGUAGUCCUGGCCGUAAACGAUGCAUACUAGGUGAUGGCACGGCCAUGAGCCGUGUCAGUGCCGUAGGGAAACCGUUAAGUGUGCCGCCUGGGAAGUACAGUCGCAAGGCUAAAAC
rnacentral:rRNA from 1 species